rnacentral:rRNA from 1 species
CUCGUAGGUGGUUGGUCACGUCUGCUGUGGAAACGCAACGCUUAACGUUGCGCGUGCAGUGGGUACGGGCUGACUAGAGUGCAGUAGGGGAGUCUGGAAUUCCUGGUGUAGCGGUGAAAUUCGUAGAUAUUGGGAAGAACACCGGUGGCGAAGGCGGCAACCUGGCUCAUUACUGACGCUGAGGCGCGAAAGCGUGGGGAGCAAACAGGAUUAGAUACCCCUGGUA